UGCAGUCGAGCGGAUGAAGGAGCUUGCUCCUGGAUUCAGCGGCGGACGGGUGAGUAAUGCCUAGGAAUCUGCCUGGUAGUGGGGGACAACGUUUCGAAAGGAACGCUAAUACCGCAUACGUCCUACGGGAGAAAGCAGGGGACCUUCGGGCCUUGCGCUAUCAGAUGAGCCUAGGUCGGAUUAGCUAGUUGGUGAGGUAAUGGCUCACCAAGGCGACGAUCCGUAACUGGUCUGAGAGGAUGAUCAGUCACACUGGAACUGAGACACGGUCCAGACUCCUACGGGAGGCAGCAGUGGGGAAUAUUGGACAAUGGGCGAAAGCCUGAUCCAGCCAUGCCGCGUGUGUGAAGAAGGUCUUCGGAUUGUAAAGCACUUUAAGUUGGGAGGAAGGGUUGUAGAUUAAUACUCUGCAAUUUUGACGUUACCGACAGAAUAAGCACCGGCUAACUCUGUGCCAGCAGCCGCGGUAAUACAGAGGGUGCAAGCGUUAAUCGGAAUUACUGGGCGUAAAGCGCGCGUAGGUGGUUCGUUAAGUUGGAUGUGAAAUCCCCGGGCUCAACCUGGGAACUGCAUUCAAAACUGUCGAGCUAGAGUAUGGUAGAGGGUGGUGGAAUUUCCUGUGUAGCGGUGAAAUGCGUAGAUAUAGGAAGGAACACCAGUGGCGAAGGCGACCACCUGGACUGAUACUGACACUGAGGUGCGAAAGCGUGGGGAGCAAACAGGAUUAGAUACCCUGGUAGUCCACGCCGUAAACGAUGUCAACUAGCCGUUGGGAGCCUUGAGCUCUUAGUGGCGCAGCUAACGCAUUAAGUUGACCGCCUGGGGAGUACGGCCGCAAGGUUAAAACUCAAAUGAAUUGACGGGCCCGCACAAGCGGUGGAGCAUGGUGGUUUAAUUCGAAGCAACGCGAAGAACCUUACCAGGCCUUGACAUCCAAUGAACUUUCCAGAAGAUGGAUUGGUGCCUUCGGGAACAUUGAGACAGGUGCUGCAUGGCUGUCGUCAGCUCGUGUCGUGAGA
rnacentral:rRNA from 1 species